UACGAAGGGGGCUAGCGUUGCUCGGAAUCACUGGGCGUAAAGCGCACGUAGGCGGAUUUUUAAGUCAGGGGUGAAAUCCUGGAGCUCAACUCCAGAACUGCCUUUGAUACUGGGAAUCUGGAGUCCGGAAGAGGUGAGUGGAACUGCGAGUGUAGAGGUGAAAUUCGUAGAUAUUCGCAAGAACACCAGUGGCGAAGGCGGCUCACUGGUCCGGUACUGACGCUGAGGUGCGAAAGCGUGGGGAGCAAACAGG
rnacentral:rRNA from 1 species